UCCAAAAGAUUUAUACCGAGACGAAUAACCAUUAACACGCGCGUCCCAAAAAUAUCGGGGUCAGAUAGCCAAUAUCACAAAUGGUGUAGGAAAUUGGUUCCAAAGAUAUCUAUGCGAAGCUUGUGAAGUGUGGAGUCCAGAAAUGCAAGAACCACCGCCUAAAACUCAUCAAAUCAAGGCCGGAAAGUUUCAGCUCUGAUGAGGCUAAUAUAAGUUUGCUAGCGAGAGAAAAAUGAUGGGGAGGGCUGGUCUUGAAGUUUUUAAUGAUGGGGAGUCCAAUGCUGGUGUAGGUUUGGCGAAAUAAGGCCGGCAAGGGGCUGAAUCGACGGUGGCAAUAGGUGGCCUCCUCUUUCUCCCUUCCUUCAACAAGUUUCUAGCAAGAAAAUAGAGGGAAAUGGAUCGCCGGUGAGAAGAGAGGGAGGGGAUGGAAGUUUUGGUGGUUGGUUGGAGGUGUGGGUGGUGGUUAUGGUUGGAAAUGGUGGUGACAGGUGAUGGAGGUGGGUAUAUGCAGGGAAGAAGAAGAGAGGGGGAGGGCUGAUUUGGAUUUUUUCUUAAGGAAAAAUUGCUCCUUUAAUCCCUCUAAUCAAGCCUAGUUACAGAAAAGUCCCCCAACCUUAUUAUGUGCCCAUUUUCUCCCUCCAUUACACACACAUAUAUAUACACACAUAUA
rnacentral:lncRNA from 1 species